rnacentral:lncRNA from 1 species
CCUUCAGCUUUCUCAAAAGUUACAGUUCUUUGUGAUGAGAUGCUCCUGCUCAGCCCACCUUCUGCGUGGACUGCAACAGUAUUUUUUUGCUGCCCAACGUUAGCAACAGCAACACCUGUUCCAGGUGAUGGGGCUGAUCUAGUAGAACUUGGAGAGGUGGUUGCAGACUUCACGCUGUUAUCUGAAAUACCGGACACGGACUUAAAAGGAUGCAGAGGAGAUACUGAUGUCUUGGUUGCAUCAAAGGAUACAACUGAGUGUCUACUGCCAUGGGAAACUUCAGACUGACGAGGUCUUCCAGGCUUGGCAUCCAUUUCUGCCUCAACACGUUUCUUCCAUGUAUCAACCAAGCUCCUUGCCUUUUUCCCAAUUUCUGAGUUCUUAUGUGAUCGCAAUCGAUUAACAGACUUCCCAAUGUUGCAAGUCUGAAGAGCAUUGAGGUUCACAGGCAGCUUGUCAAGAGCACGUAGUAAAAUCAAAAGAAACUCGUCCACUGAUCUAUCAUUGUCUUUGGGACUGCUCCCAUCCCCAAUUUUCCUUCUAUGAAUCUCCUGUAGCCACUCAUCAAAAACAGAUAAACCCCUCAGCUGGACGAAACGACUGAGACAGUCAAACUUGUCUGUUGCAGCUACAGCACUUGCAAGAAUGGACCGCCCAAUCAAAUCUGUCUUCUUCUCAUUCUUCUCAGGUAGCAUGAGCUGUACCAAUUUCUCAACCCCUUCAGAAUCCACUAGCCUCCCUCUCUCAGUAAUUUUUGCAAUCUCAGACUUCAAACUGCUUUCUUUUCUUACAAAACCAGAACCACCAUCAUCACCUCGGCUCGGACGUUCCCUUUUCACAGAUUCAGAACCCUGAUCACCACGCUCUCUCUUCCUUCCCUUGCCCUGUGAAGAAGAGGAGCUACUGUUCUGCAUACCUUCUGUUCCUGUUUUCACUUGAGAUGUUGUUAACCUAGGAGAACAACCACACUGCUGUAAACUCUUACACAAUAAGUUAUCUACUUCUUGUUGACGUUCCUGCAUAAAAAAAAAAGACUUGUCAAAACCAGAGAAGAAACAUAAUUGGAUAACGAAUUUUAAUCACUCACUCACUCACAUCGAUAUAAUCUUGAUCAGUGAGCCACCAAAUAGACUCAUUCAUAACAUCAUAAACCCUCCAGCAAACAAACGAAGAGAUUCCAGAUGGGAGUUCAACGCCUCUGGGAAGAAAGGUAACUUUACACGGAUGAAGCAAAGACGCAGCAGGUAUCUCAUCCUCGUGAAAGGAGUAAAAGAUCUCGUUAGGCUGAGCCUCCAAAAGGACGCCCUUCCCAAGCUUCAACUCACCGGGUCGAUACAGCCAAUUCACACGAACCUUAAAGCUGCCUCCUUCUUCUCGUUCCGGAACCAGCAAACGGAUCAAACCAAUGAACGGUGGACAAUCCUGAGGCGGCUUGAACAGAGCACAGUCACCAACACUAAUCCUCCUCCCGUCCUGCAAUAACCAUCAUCAAAAUCAAAACUUUAAAUCAAAUCGGAACCAAUCAAAAGCCAAUUGAGACGAAUCAAGUUACCUUAGAGAAGGAAGAAGGUGAAGAAAGAGAGAGCGACGAAGAAGAAGAAGAAGCGGUUGAGAUUAGACGCGAAGGAGGUCUAAGCAUAAGCAGACGACGAUGACCUUUCUUCCUCCCAUGCAUAGCCGUCUCUCAUUUUUUCCCCUUUCGAAUCAAAACAAACACAAUUUCGUCUUCCUUGUCAGAAUUGGUUUUCGAUUAAAAAAAACCCUAAAAUUGAGAUUAAAAGAAGAAGAUGCGAUUCCUUAGGGAUUGAUUUUUGAAAUCGAGUACCUGAUCCAAUCAACCCGCGAAGAUCCAACAGCGAGAAGAAGAAGAAACCCCCGUAGAGUGCGAGACACGAAUCGAAAGCACGCCCUUGUUUGUUUUUUCGAUCCAGCGAAGAAGAAGAAGAAGAAGAAGAAGAAAAAAAAAUAAAAUCGAGAGAGAGAGAGAGAGAGAGACGAAGGCAAAAGGGGGGUACUACGAGUCGGGGCAGUUCGGGCAUGUGUUUCGGGCAGCGUUUUUAUUUAUUUUGUUUUUGGUUUUCUGGUGACAUUUGAGUGUGUUUUUCUUUUCUCCCCCCUUUUUAUAGCUCUUUUUGAUUUUUCUAAUUUUUUCCUAAAUUUAAAACAAAACGAACUUCGUGAUUUAAAAAAAAAAGUUAUUUGGGUUAAACACAAAAAAAAGUCUGAUCAUUUAUAAAAAUCAAACGAAAUUUAGGAUCAUUUUUAAUCAACAAACUCAAAAAUAAAUGUGAGUACUUUAUAAAAUAAAAUUAGAGAAAUGUUCUGCUCAUUUUGUUUCAUAUAAUGUAUUUUAAAAAAUGUUCUCGCGUAUUUAAAAUUGAAUUAGAAACUCUAUUUUAUCCGUUGACACACUUUUUUAUUUAUUUAAUACACUAAUACAAUAAGGUUAAAAAUGAACAUUUAUUUAAAUUUUGUAUUGAAAAUAAAAAACGACACACUUUUUGAAAUAAAAAUAAAACUCUAAACACACUUUUUAAGAAACUGGGAAGUAUUAUCUAAUAUUUAUAGAAGAAAAUAUCACAUUCAUCUAAAAAUAGAAAAAAAAAUAUAACAUAUUGGAGUAAAAUCUUCAUUUUCUGUAUCUUUAGAUAUGUGCACAUUUUCUUGCCAAGAAGAUAAGAAAUAUUGAAAUUUUCUUUUUUCCAUGUAGAUCAGAUCUGGUCUGAGAGAGCGUCUCUUUGGAACGUAUCAGCCAUGACUAAUACUUAUCUUAUAAAAUAAGUGUCGUAAAAAAAUGGAGUAAAAUUCCUAUGUAUUUGAAAAAUUCUAUUUUUAGUGGAAAAAAACUAGAAGAGAGAUUAUCUAUAUAGCAAGCAAACUAAAAUUAUAAGCAUGAAUAAGUUGUUUCCACAAGUUUACAAAACCGAUCAGUUUAUAUAAUAAUUUUGUGAUUUGAUCCAGUUUAUUCUGGCUGAUUACGGUUUGAAUGUGGUGACCUACCCUCCACAACAAGUUAUGUUUGGUUAUGAUUUUUAUGCGAGGAUCUUUUGGUUACAUUGUACAGUGUCAAAUCACUGUCAUCAAAGUACAAGUCAAUCAUUGUCUCUCUUUGACACAGACAUUAACUUUUUUUACAAUGAGACUAAGAAGCUAUUUGAGUAGCUUCCAGUGACAUGUCUUCUUCACUCACCGAUAGCUCCAAAACAUGUUCUUCACAAGGCACAAAAUAUGUAGAACAUCUCAAAGAUUUUGAGACAGUAAGGUUAAGCUAACUGAAGGUUCCAUAUUUGCAUAGGUGACAAGACUAGUCAAAAUUGGCAAUUGGAGAUGGUGCAAAAGAUGUUAGGAAUGCUUCAAGAAGCAGAUAUAGGAGUUGGGAUCAGUGGAGUGGAAGCAAUGCAGGUUCUUUAAAGAAUCUUAGGACAACCAUUUGCACGGUUUUGUAUCAAGGUAUAAUGAAUCAUUCAAAUCAAAAAGAGCUGCGUAGUUUGCUGUAUAGUGGAGUUUCUUAACCCAAAGCCUUGCUUCGUUUGCUGUAACUGUUCCCUAUAUUGUACCAGGAAGUGGUACAAAAUCUCCCCUUUGGUUGUUACAUGGCUUCUGCAGCACAAUAACCAUUUUCUUCCUCUGCAAAACCUCUCUUGAAUCCCAAGCUUUCAACCACCAAGGGAAAACCGCAGGGGAGAGAGAGAUUUUUGGAGGAACUAUGUACACAUGUGGGUUGAGUUAGCAGAUGGUACAAUCAGUUACUACCUGUUAUUGCAAAUUUGCAAUAUAUGAGCCAUUUUGUUAUAACAGAGACAAAGUUCUGAAAUGUGGAUUCAAACAUAACUAACCACAAGUAAAAAAAAUCUACAAAAGAGUUGCUGCUGACUAUAUAAUACACAAACCAUGUCAGAUUUUACCAGUCUCAUACCAACAAUGACCAUCAUUUUUUCUUUUACAGCAGAGCUCCAAAAAAAAGAGAAAAAAAAAACAUAAACUAAACACUCGCUUGCAUCUCUAAAAGAGAUAAGGAACUAAGUUAGCGUCUGCUUUUAUCUUCAAGAGUACCUAAGAGCCAACAAAGAUUGAAUUAGAAACACAGUCAGCGAGAGAUAAUAUAAAGAAACAGAAGAUGGUAGAGCUGAAAGAAGAGAGUAAAAAUAUGCUUACAUGCUUAGUGCAACGGCCUACAAAGAGAUUCUGAGGUUUGUUAUUGCCAAGAGGGUUGCUUGUAUCCAUCCCAUCCACCACUGUCUGGUUCCUUCCUCUUGAGAGUACCACCAAACAUUUGAUACAUUCUUGCUUCAUCUUUCAAGGGUAAAGAACCAGAGGAAGAUAGCUGUCUUUGUACAAGUGCUGCUUCAUCUCUGCCAUCAGUUUCAUGCCCUCCUGGUCCAGAGUUCAAGUCAAGACCAGAUCUAAACCAUUUUGCAUUGUUGCUGCUGUCCGAAACUCCACCAUUGCUACUACCGUUUGGGAGAUUAACGACAUAAGGUCUUGGGUAGUUAGAAGGGAUGGCAACUCCUGGACCCAAUAUUUGAGAGUUGACAGGAGGGAAGCAUAGCCUGCCACUUGAUGAAGAGUCCAUGUAUGGUGUUGAAGCACCUGAAAAAUUUGCUGAGGAAAGAGGAAAGCUGGAACCAAAAGGAAACCCAGGAUACUGAAAUGCUGAUGGUGGGAAUGAAACUGCUGGAGAAGACAGUAAAACAGGGCCUCUGUACAUAUCAGGUGUAUAUGAUGAAACUUCAGAUGUUGGACCAACCAUUCUCUGCGGUCCAUUGCCACGUUCAGGCAAGACUUGAGGAAUGCUCAUUGCUGAAUAAUUGUUAACAGCAGGAAACCAAGAUGAGAAGCCAGGCCUUAUUCCACUGAUCAUUGGCUGUGCACUUCGGGAAUUUUGACUAAAACCCAGAGAUGACUCAACAACGUUAACAUCAUCAACAGCAGGUCCAUCGUUUAAAUCAAAAUCCCUACUACCACCAGAAGAUAAGUUUGUCUGUUGAAAAGUUGAAUUCACCCGAUGACCACUGCUUACCGUAUGAUUAUUCAUAUCGGCUGGAUCAUCAAGUCUGUUUAGAUCAAGAUCCAGUACGCCACAGGGAUUUGUGGGAUUGGCAAAUCUUUGGGAAGGCAGAUCUUCAAGAACUCUUUCAUCCGGUACAUUUAGGUCGAAGUCCAAGAAUGUCUUUGUUUGCUUGCCAGCGGUUGUAGAAGCAUCACAGGAAGCCACAUUAUUCAUGCUUAGUGGCACCACCUCUUGGACUUUUCUUGGCUCAGCUGGUCGGAAGGCGCUAGUGGCAGCAGAUCCUCUCCACCCAACAGCUGGUUUAUUUCUCAACAGAUCAUCACGCGGAACAAAAGCACCCUUUGCAGCAGCAGCAACUGUAAUGGAUGCAGGAGGUCGACUGGUUUGUAAAGGAGUAGAUGUCAAAGACAACGAUCCAGAGAAGUUACUUGAAUUCUCCUUUCGUGUGUCAUCCCCACUGAAAGCUUCAUUUAGGUCAAAUUUAACUCCGGCUUCCAGCUCUGACCCUGCUAAAGCUGAAACUGAGGGAAGAUCUUUGGCAGCAGAGGUAAAUUCCUCUGUUUCAUGCCCAUCAGCACAUGUUGUCGUGGCGCACUGUUUUCCGACUUCAGCACUCUUUAGAGACGCCUCCACAUGCUCAACUUCAAUCUUAGUUACAGAUGAAUCCAGAUGAGCUGUCACAGGCUUGUUCUUUUUAUCUGUCUGGUUCACAUGAUUAAUCCCCACGUCCAUCUUUUCUGCAGCUAUGCCCUUGGAGAGCUUGGACGAAACAGUUACAUCUUCAGCCGUUUCUUUAUCCAAUUCAGAACUCAAGACUACCGGGGGUUUAUGCUCUUCCUUGUUAUCAGAGUGUGAAUUUGCAACAACCAAGGAUUCUACUUUGGGACAUAAUACGAUGGCUUUACAUUCAGCUGGCGCAGAAGUUUCCACUGAUGUACAAGCAGCCUUUCGAUCGUUAGCUGUUCCACCACAAUCAUUAUCAUCAGACAAUUUCUCUGGCAUCGAUCUAUCAACAUUUUCAGUACUCCUAUCCUUGGCAAACUCUGACAAAACUGAAACCACUUCACCCAUUUUAUUAACUAGCUCAGAACUUAAUAUCACCUUUGGUUUAUCUUCCACCUGAGCACCACCAGCAGCCUCCAAGUGUGAAUCUUCAGCAGUCAAAGAAUCUGCAUUUUGACUUUUGCCAAUGGUUUUACAUAUACGUAAGGCAGAGUUUCCUGUCCUCAUCACUGUAUCUGCCACUCCAUCUGUCUCUGAUAUCUCUUCAGUCUUUUGGUCACUAACUACCCCACUAUCACCAUCAUCAGAAAUGUUUCCCCCAAUGCCUGAUGUGUGCCCAGCGGUUGGGGCAAUAUCAUCUGAAUUUUCAUUGCUUUCUAGGCACUGAUCCACCAAUCUUUGCAACUCUUCGAUUUCUGAAUCGGAGUUAUCAUCAAGAUCUCCCGGCUUAGAAUCAUUUUCAUUCUCUACAACGGCCAACUGCUCGCCACUACUACUGACAUGUUCAACAAUGGUGGGAUUCACAUUCUCAGCUUGCUCGCUAGGCAUGCCAUCCAAAGAAUCUGAAACCCGAGAUACCGAGGGUGAUGCAACAGGGGAUUUGGACAUUUCAUCAGCAGCAACAGUAGCUAGAAGAUUCAUUCCAACAUCAUCUGCACCAGCCACACAUGCAUUCGCCUCAGAGUCCCUGACACAACUUUCAAUCAAAGCAUUCAUUAAGCUGUGUGAUUCACCAUGUCCUUUUCCAGUUUUGACAUCAUCUCCUGAGGUAGGAGACGUGGGCUUGACAAUAUCUUCUAUUUUACUAGACUCAUUAACAGCCUUCUCGUGCCCAUCACCACGUUCACCACAUUUAGGCAGCUUAACCAUCAACUUAUUGCUACAACCUUCAGCUUUCUCAAAAGUUACAGUUCUUUGUGAUGAGAUGCUCCUGCUCAGCCCAACUUCUGCGUGGACUGCAACAGUAUUUCUUUGCUGCCCAACGUUAGCAACAGCAACACCUGUUCCAGGUGAUGGGGCUGAUCUAGUAGAACUUGGAGAGGUGGUUGCAGACUUCACGCUGUUAUCUGAAAUACCGGACACGGACUUAAAAGGAUGCAGAGGAGAUACUGAUGUCUUGGUUGCAUCAAAGGAUACAACUGAGUGUCUACUGCCAUGGGAAACUUC